rnacentral:lncRNA from 1 species
GACAGAAAUGGGUCCAGUUUCAAGGCUAUAGAGUCAGAAACAGUGCUACACAGUUUGAGAAAAGUUCAGCUUCCUAGUGUCCUUUCCUUUUCUGUUAAUCUUUUUCUUUUAUAUGCAUAAAUUGGUGUUAUUUUGGACUAUUAUAUAUUGCAUCUUAAUGGAAUCAUAUUUCUAUCUCAAAGUUUAAAAUAUUGCCAUCGUUGCCU